AUGGCUCCUGCAGCUAAUGGCUCACACGAGGACGAGGAUGUGGCUGACGUGCACAAGCCCCGGCCUUACACCCCUAGCCCCUGGGGUGACUUCUUCCUCAACCACAACUCAUGCACUCAAUCACAGUAUUUGGCUAUGAAGCACAUGGCAACCAUCAAGAAGGAACAAGUGAGAAAUAUCAUCUUGGAUGUGAAAUCUUCCUCCGAUUUAGUUGUGAAGAUCGAGCUUAUCGACACACUGGAACGCAUAGGUGUGGCAUAUCACUACCGCGAAGAUAUCAAUGAAAUACUAUGUGACAUGCACGACGAACAGGGCAUUGUUGACGACCUCCAUAUGACAGCGAUGCGGUUCUACUUGUUGAGGAAGCAUGGCUACCACAUCUCUUCUGAUGUGUUUCUGAAGUUUAGAGAUGACAAGGGAAACUUUGCGAGCGAUGAUCUGGUCUCGUUGUUGGCAUUGUACAAUGCAGCGUAUCUUAGGGUUCAUGGGGAAGAAGUCCUUGAUGACGCUAUUGUUUUCAGCAAGAGCCGUCUACAAUCUAUGUUGGAACAUCUAGACCCGCUGUUGGUAGAAGAGGUCCAGUGUACAUUGGAAACACCCCAUUUCAGGAGAGUUGAAAGAGUAGAAACAAGACGUUACAUCCCGGUAUAUGAGAAGAAGGCUACUCGAGAUGAGUGCAUAUUAGAGUUUGCUAAGUUGGAUUUCAACAUUUUGCAAACUCUUUAUUGUGAGGAGUUGAAAGCUCUUACAAUUUGGUGGAAUGACAUUCGAUCACAGUCAAAUCUACAAUUUGCACGAGAUAGGAUGGUGGAGAUGCAUUUUUGGAUGCUUGGAGUUGUCUAUGAGCCGCAAUAUUCCUAUACACGUAUGAUGCUGACAAAAUUGGUCAUGUUUGUGUCAUUAUUUGAUGACCUCUAUGACAACUAUAGCACCACUGAAGAAAGCAACAUCUUCACUGCAGCCAUGGAAAGGUGGGAUGAACAAGCCGUGGAGAAAUUCCCAGCAUACUUGAAGGCAUUAUACAUCAACAUACUUAACACUACAAAUGUUAUUGAUGAAGAGUUGAAGCGUCAGAAAAACAUGCAUGCUGGAUUGGCAAAAAAAAUGGUAAUUGACAUUGCCAAAUGCUAUCAUGCGGAGGUUAAAUGGCGGGAUGAACACUACGUACCAACUAGUGUUGAAGAGCAUCUACAAAUUUCAAUGCGCUCCAGCGCUUGUAUGCAAAUAAUAAGCCUUGUGUUCAUCUCAAUGGGUGAUAUAACUACAAGGGUGGUUCUUGAGUGGGAUUUUACUUAUCCAAAAAUAAUCAAAUGUGUAUGUAUUAUCGGCCGCAUUGGAAAUGACAUGGUGUCACAUGAGCGCGAACAACUAUCAGAGCACAUGGCAUCCACUGUACAAACUUGUACAAAAGAGCAUGGGAUCACGGUGGUAGAAGCCAAUGAGAAGCUUAAGGUAAUAAUUGAAGAAGCAUGGAUGGACAUAGUCCACGAAUGCCUCCAUAGGGAACAUCCAAUGGCACUUUUAGAGAAGGCGACUGAUCUUGCCCGGACAAUGGAUUUCAUGUACAAGCGUGAAGAUGCAUACACCCUCUCGUUUAGCCUCAAAGAGACAUUAACUUCACUUUACGUGAAUUUCAUAUGA
rnacentral:rRNA from 1 species